rfam:Danio rerio chromosome 6, GRCz11 reference primary assembly.
GGCCACAGCCAUAUCACGCACUGAAGCUCACUCACUGAAGCUAAGCAGGGCUGAGCCUGAUCAGUACCAGGAUGGGAGACCAGAUGGGAAAAUUAGGUUGCUGUUGGAA